UAGGAGCCUAUAUAAGAAAAAGACCCAAAAAUCGGGACUGUCCCUAUAAAAUCGGGACAUCUGGUCACCCUAGUAUUAAGGGCACAUGCACACUCAGCGUUACCGUCACUACUCCCACCAUGUAAGGCUCGAUUUUCAACAGACCUCAAUCCCUAUGUGCCGAGCUCGGUAGAAAAUCUGUCGCUCAGGGUGUGUCUACGCAAGGAGUUCAUCAGGAAUAAUCUGCUUCAAAUUCACACCCUCAUUUAUUCCAGAAUAGUUUCAUGUGUAGACAAGCCACUAGUCUGGGGAGGCCCAGCUUUGCCAGGGGUGGCAAUUCAGAGCAGGGUUAGAUGACAUGAUUAAAAUGCCAGACACGGUUGCGUCUACUGUCCGUAGCAACUCUGCUAGACCCACACUGGGGAAGCGCUAGUGUGGACUACAAACUCUUUUGGGGCAGGGGCUGUCUCUUUGUUCCGUGUUUGUACAGCACCCAGCAUGAUAGGUCCACGGCUGUGGCUCCGAAGCACUACUGCAAAACACAUAAUUAAUUAACAGGUCAGGCCCAAGUAGCUAGAACACACAGGAAUUGACUCAGUUUUAGUUGGCUCUCCAGGCAGUCAGGAGUUUGGCAUAGAAGGGCGUCCAGCAUGGGAGGGAUUUGCAAUCCCUUUGCUGUGUGGAGUGUAUUACACAGAAUUGUAUUUACACAAAGUCAAGUGAUAUAUAGUGAGACUUACAGGCUUUAAGGUCAGAAGGGACCAUUGUGAUCAUCUAGUCUGACCUCCUGCACGUUGCAAGCCACAGAAUCCCAUCCACCCAUCCUGUAAUAGACCCCUAACCUCUGGCUGAGUUACUGAAGUCCUCAAAUCUUGAUUUAAAGACUUCAAGUUACAGAGAAUCCACCAUUUACACUAGUAUUUGACCAACCUGGCUGGGUUUUUUUUAUGGAUUUGCCAGUUGCCAGAAAAAUAAUUUAAUCAGCUGUUUUUUGUUUUAUGUGAGUCUAAAGAUUUGCAUUAUUAGCACAAUCCACUGGGAUAUCUAAUGUUAAAAGUUUUGGUGUCCAAGAUAAAGAUACUGCAGUGUUCCCACUUCCGCAGUUUUAAGCGAUAACAGAUCAAAACUGUUGAAAACACAGCAGCUGUCUGCCCCCCACCAAACCUUUGGAAUGACUGGAGGAAUGGCCUCAGUAUUGAAGUGGUCAAAUGUGAGCUUUGCAUUAGAUGCAACCUCAGCUAUUCCUGUCUGGAAUUCUAUGAUGUUGCCGUUAAAAAUAAGAAAUUGCUAGAAAUGACAAAAUCAAACGGCAAAUACAAAUUAAAGAAAUAGACUCAGUGGCUUCUUUUUAAUAUAUAAAGUUCCAAAAUGCUCACAUUCAUGUAUAUAGUUAAAAUAUAGAUUCAAUGCAGUCUGGGGGGGAAAUAAUCUCAGUGAAGACGGACACAAACAAAGCCGCUUGGAGAACACGCCCAAGUGUUCCCUUUAGGCACCCGUUACGCUCUCUUCCUUGUACAUCCCUGCGCUUUGGAGACGGAAGCCAGCGUUCCCCGUGUUACGAACUCCCAGCUGGCUCAUGUUGCACAUCUGCAUUCAGUCUCGUUUGGAGGCGUUAGCCCAGAGUGGGCAUCCCGCCGAGUUUCCAGGUGUGAAAAAACACAGGAGUUGCAGUUUUUCAGCCGUGAUUCAGCUGCGUUUUUAAAGAAAACAACUCCCCUCGCCUACAGCAGGAAAUCACUGUUUGGAUUUAUGAGGCACCUUUUCCUGACCAUCCUCUCUGGAAAAGCCUUUGCUAGAUCGACAUGGCUGCUCCCUUCCUGACUCCUGCUGGGAGAAUCUGGACAACGGGAGCUUGGAGAAUAAGGUGUAGGCCAGUGGUUCUCAACCAGGGGCACGCGUACAGCUGAGGCUACUCAGAGCUCUUCCAGGGGGGACAUCAACUCAUCCAGAGAUUUGCCUAGUUUUACAACAGGCUGCAGAAAAAGCCCUGGCAAAGUCGGUACAAACUAACAUUUCAGACAAUGACUUAUUUAUCCUGCUCUGUAUACUAUACACUGCAAUGUAAGUACAAUAUUUAUAUUCCAGUCGAUUUAUUUUAUAAUUUAUAUGGUAAGAAUGAGAACAUCAGCAAUUUCUCAGCAAUAUUGUGCUGUGACCCUUUUUGUAUUUUUAUGGCUGGUUUUGUAAGCAAGUAGUUUUGAAGUGAGGUGAAACUUGGGAGUACGCAAGACCAAGCAGACUCCUGAAAGUCAUCUGGAAAGGUUGAGAGCCACUAGUCUAGUCUACUCUACUCUAGAAAAAAGGUUUGCCAAUGUUGCUACUCUAGUAUCAGCAAAGUAGGGUAAGCCAUCUCCUACGGCAGAUGCAGGGUCUACCGUCAAAAACGUGUUUUUGCUGGUAUUGCUUGUAUCAGUUUGCUGAACGAAAGAAGCACUGAAAUUUGCUGGUAUA